ACAGAGCAAAACAACUCCUCCAAUGUUGAUGAGCCUGCUCCUGGGAUUUGGAAACUUGCUGUUCACUGGUGCAUUUAUUUUGGAUUUGACCAUCUGGGGAAGAGGUGUGGCCUCUCCUGGCCUCUCCCUCCCUGGGGCCCAGGCAAGGAGAAUGAGGUCUCAGAAUGACUCCCUUGAGAGUCCUGUUCCCCUUUCAUCAACACACAGACCCAGAAGACCCCUCCGUCAUGCAGCAUCUGCCAUGAGCAUCGGCAUCCUGUGCUGUGCAGCCUUUUGUCUCCUGUGGGCAGGUCCAGUGAAUGCUGGUGUCACUCAGACCCCAAAAUUCCAGGUCCUGAAAACAGGACAGAGCAUGAUACUGCAGUGUGCCCAGGAUAUGAACCAUGACUACAUGUACUGGUAUCGACAAGACCCAGGCAUGGGGCUGAGGCUGAUUCAUUACUCAGUUGGUGCUGGUAUCACUGACAAAGGAGAAGUUUCCAAUGGCUACAGCGUCUCUAGAUCAAACACAGAGGAUUUCCCACUCAGGCUGGAGUCGGCUGCUCCCUCACAGACAUCUGUGUACUUCUGUGCCAGCAGUUACUCACAGCGCUACAAGGCUGCCUCCUAUCUGCACAUAAAGCCAGGCAGGCUCUGCCCUCCUUCCUCACCCAAGACUCAGUGA